rnacentral:rRNA from 1 species
GUAGGUGAACACCUUUUCCAGGUUCGCCCAAAU